GUUGUUUUCUCCUCUCUUGCCUGGAUUCUUAAUGUGUGCUGGAAUGGGCCACCUCAACCUUAGCUUGACUUUUGACCCUCACACUUUAUGCACCAAUUUUUGUCUACUUGACAUGGCUUGUACAGCUAACGCAAACAUCCUGUUGCAAUGGGGCGCAGGUGAUUCUAUUCACUGCGUCCCAUCAAGGGCCCACGGCUUUCAGAAAAAUGAGCGGCUACGCCAGACAAUGAAGUCUCUUAACAUGUUGCCGCAGCUGGAAUGAGCUAGCCUGAAGCAUGAGAUCACAAGCACUUGUCUUUGUCAACUCUUUAUUUCAGACAAAACGAUUGUACUUCA